GCGGCGUGCUUAACACAUGCAAGUCGAACGAUGAAGCCCAGCUUGCUGGGUGGAUUAGUGGCGAACGGGUGAGUAACACGUGAGCAACCUGCCCCUGACUCUGGGAUAAGCGCUGGAAACGGCGUCUAAUACUGGAUAUGUCCCGUCACCGCAUGGUGUGCGGGUGGAAAGAUUUUUCGGUUGGGGAUGGGCUCGCGGCCUAUCAGCUUGUUGGUGAGGUAAUGGCUCACCAAGGCGUCGACGGGUAGCCGGCCUGAGAGGGUGACCGGCCACACUGGGACUGAGACACGGCCCAGACUCCUACGGGAGGCAGCAGUGGGGAAUAUUGCACAAUGGGCGGAAGCCUGAUGCAGCAACGCCGCGUGAGGGAUGACGGCCUUCGGGUUGUAAACCUCUUUUAGCAGGGAAGAAGCGAAAGUGACGGUACCUGCAGAAAAAGCACCGGCUAACUACGUGCCAGCAGCCGCGGUAAUACGUAGGGUGCAAGCGUUAUCCGGAAUUAUUGGGCGUAAAGAGCUCGUAGGCGGUCUGUCGCGUCUGCUGUGAAAUUCCGAGGCUCAACCUCGGGCUUGCAGUGGGUACGGGCAGACUAGAGUGCGGUAGGGGAGAUUGGAAUUCCUGGUGUAGCGGUGGAAUGCGCAGAUAUCAGGAGGAACACCGAUGGCGAAGGCAGAUCUCUGGGCCGUAACUGACGCUGAGGAGCGAAAGGGUGGGGAGCAAACAGGCUUAGAUACCCUGGUAGUCCACCCCGUAAACGUUGGGAACUAGUUGUGGGGUCCUUUCCACGGAUUCCGUGACGCAGCUAACGCAUUAAGUUCCCCGCCUGGGGAGUACGGCCGCAAGGCUAAAACUCAAAGGAAUUGACGGGGACCCGCACAAGCGGCGGAGCAUGCGGAUUAAUUCGAUGCAACGCGAAGAACCUUACCAAGGCUUGACAUACACGAGAACGGGCCAGAAAUGGUCAACU
rnacentral:rRNA from 1 species